rnacentral:lncRNA from 10 species
CCAAAAUUUACAUUUUCCCAUUUGCCCUCUGGUUCACAGUGGAUAUAAAUCCACAUAAUGCAGCCAUAGAGCCCCCUGCUCUGCCUGUCUACUGGCCGCGCACCCGGAUCAAGGCUGGGGGAGGAAAGCCUUGGCCCUGGAGGCACUAGACGUACCUGCCAACCCACCAGAUGUCUGCAGAUGUGUGAGUGAGACCCACAGAGACCAGCUGAACUAAGCAGAACUGAAGACCACUCAUCUGACACAAUGAUUGUUGUUUUAUGCCACCAGGUUUGGGGGAUUGUUUGUUACCCAGCAAAAGCAAACAGAUCUAUACUUUUUUCCCACGCCACUUUCUUCUUCCUGCUUGGAAUGCAGAUGUGAUACUGAAGGUGGGACAACCACCUUUGCAACCAUGAGGACAAAUGCUUUACAGAAAGAUGGAAGAGGCCUGGCAAAGUGAUGCUACCAUGGACUCAAUAGCUGCACAAUCCCACAAGUGUCUGCCUCCAGACUUUAUGGUUUGUGAGAAAAAUAAAACCUUGUGCUGUUAAGCCACUUGUAUCAUCCAGUUUUUAAUUACAGACAUCUGAAUCCACUUCAGGUAGUUUAAGUAAAAAGCAGUUUAUGAAAAUAUGUCACUUAGCUUAUGGAACCUCUAAAGAUCCAGAG